CAGGCUUAACACAUGCAAGUCGAGGGGCAGCAUGGCCUUAGCUUGCUAAGGCCGAUGGCGACCGGCGCACGGGUGAGUAACACGUAUCCAACCUGCCGUCUACUCUUGGACAGCCUUCUGAAAGGAAGAUUAAUACAAGAUGGCAUCAUGAGUCCGCAUGUUCACAUGAUUAAAGGUAUUCCGGUAGACGAUGGGGAUGCGUUCCAUUAGAUAGUAGGCGGGGUAACGGCCCACCUAGUCUUCGAUGGAUAGGGGUUCUGAGAGGAAGGUCCCCCACAUUGGAACUGAGACACGGUCCAAACUCCUACGGGAGGCAGCAGUGAGGAAUAUUGGUCAAUGGGCGAGAGCCUGAACCAGCCAAGUAGCGUGAAGGAUGACUGCCCUAUGGGUUGUAAACUUCUUUUAUAAAGGAAUAAAGUCGGGUAUGGAUACCCGUUUGCAUGUACUUUAUGAAUAAGGAUCGGCUAACUCCGUGCCAGCAGCCGCGGUAAUACGGAGGAUCCGAGCGUUAUCCGGAUUUAUUGGGUUUAAAGGGAGCGUAGAUGGAUGUUUAAGUCAGUUGUGAAAGUUUGCGGCUCAACCGUAAAAUUGCAGUUGAUACUGGAUAUCUUGAGUGCAGUUGAGGCAGGCGGAAUUCGUGGUGUAGCGGUGAAAUGCUUAGAUAUCACGAAGAACUCCGAUUGCGAAGGCAGCCUGCUAAGCUGCAACUGACAUUGAGGCUCGAAAGUGUGGGUAUCAAACAGGAUUAGAUACCCUGGUAGUCCACACGGUAAACGAUGAAUACUCGCUGUUUGCGAUAUACUGCAAGCGGCCAAGCGAAAGCGUUAAGUAUUCCACCUGGGGAGUACGCCGGCAACGGUGAAACUCAAAGGAAUUGACGGGGGCCCGCACAAGCGGAGGAACAUGUGGUUUAAUUCGAUGAUACGCGAGGAACCUUACCCGGGCUUAAAUUGCAGAUGAAUUACGGUGAAAGCCGUAAGCCGCAAGGCAUCUGUGAAGGUGCUGCAUGGUUGUCGUCAGCUCGUGCCGUGAGGUGUCGGCUUAAGUGCCAUAACGAGCGCAACCCUUGUUGUCAGUUACUAACAGGUUCCGCUGAGGACUCUGACAAGACUGCCAUCGUAAGAUGUGAGGAAGGUGGGGAUGACGUCAAAUCAGCGCGGCCCUUACGUCCGGGGCUACACACGUGUUACAAUGGGGGGUACAGAGGGCCGCUACCACGCGAGUGGAUGCCAAUCCCCAAAACCUCUCUCAGUUCGGACUGGAGUCUGCAGCCCGACUCCACGAAGCUGGAUUCGCUAGUAAUCGCGCAUCAGCCACGGCGCGGUGAAUACGUUCCCGGGCCUUGUACACACCGCCCGUCAAGCCAUGGGAGCCGGGGGUACCUGAAGUGCGUAACCGCGAGGAGCGCCCUAGGGUAAAACUGGUGACUGGGGCUAAGU
rnacentral:rRNA from 1 species